CAGCACCCCUGCCUUUCUUAUGCAAUUCCCUUUAGGGCAGAUAUUCCCUAGAAGGCCCACAGCCUCCUCCCUGGCUUGGCCUGAUGGAUCCCGGGUCAAAGAACAAGAGCAGAGGUCAUCAAAAGGUCAAGUCUAAUCUACCUACAGAUGUGGCAGGCUUAGCUAUGGAUGUUCAAGCCAGACAUUGCCAGGAGAACCACAUCUCUUCACCCAUAGCAUGGACUGUAGGAGAAAGCCCAGAGGAGCAAUGAAGACAAAGAAGACAUGACACCUGCAAAAAGUCAGUGGAGUAUUUCUACAUAAGAAACAUUCCAGGCUGCCAUGAUCCUCCCUCUGAACCCCAUGGUCAGUGUCGCUGCAGAGAUCCUCCCUUUGGACCCUGCCUGCCUGAAGGGCCCAUACCUUGAUCAGACGUCUUAGAACGACUGCCCUUAGCCAUGUCAUAAAAAGGAGAAAACAUCAUAUUUGACAACCCCAAUUCCUGCAUUAUACAGACAGGAAACUCAGGUGCACUUCACCACACGCUUCUCAGUUGCGUGGAUGCACAUCUCCACUUCUUUGCAGGGAGGACGAACAACAGCAGAAUACCCGUGGCCUGACUUUCUGGAGCAUCAGUAUUACUACAAGAUUUGGAAAAACCAAAGUUAGGUCAUUUCCAAGAGCCUACCCAUAGACAAAGCCAAGAUUUAAUCUGCAAGAGUCUGCCAGGCACUCUG